AGUCCGAGUUGUAAUUUGUAGAAGAUGCUUUGGGUGUUCGGCCCGGCCUAAGUUCCUUGGAACAGGACGUCGUAGAGGGUGAGAAUCCCGUAUGCGGCCGGGGCUGACGCCUAUGUAAAGCUCUUUCGACGAGUCGAGUUGUUUGGGAAUGCAGCUCAAAAUGGGUGGUAAAUUUCAUCUAAAGCUAAAUAUUGGCCAGAGACCGAUAGCGCACAAGUAGAGUGAUCGAAAGAUGAAAAGCACUUUGGAAAGAGAGUUAAACAGUACGUGAAAUUGUUGAAAGGGAAGCGCUUGCAGCCAGACUUGGGCGUCGCUGAUCAUCCAAAGUUCUCUUUGGUGCACUCGACGAUGCACAGGCCAGCAUCGGUUGGGAUGGUGGGAGAAAGGUCGCAGGAAUGUAGCUUCUUUCGGGGAGUGUUAUAGCCUGUGGCGCAAUACCGCCUAUCUCGACCGAGGACCGCGCUUCGGCUAGGAUGCUGGCGUAAUGGCUGUAAGCGACCCGUCUUGAAACACGGACCAAGGAGUCUAACAUCUAUGCGAGUGUUUGGGUGUCAAACUCAUGCGCGGAAUGAAAGUGAACGUAGGUGAGAACCC
rnacentral:rRNA from 1 species